AGCAUAUCAAUAAGCGGAGGAAAAGAAACCAACAGGGAUUGCCUCAGUAACGGCGAGUGAAGCGGCAAAAGCUCAAAUUUGAAACCUUCGGGAUUGUAAUUUGAAGAUUUGGCAUUGGAGAAAGCUAACCCAAGUUACUUGGAAUAGUACGUCAUAGAGGGUGACAACCCCGUCUGGCUAACCGUUCUCCAUGUAUUGCCUUAUCAAAGAGUCGAGUUGUUUGGGAAUGCAGCUCAAAGUGGGUGGUAAACUCCAUCUAAAGCUAAAUACUGGUGAGAGACCGAUAGCGAACAAGUACUGUGAAGGAAAGGUGAAAAGAACUUUGAAAAGAGAGUGAAAUAGUAUGUGAAAUUGUUGAUAGGGAAGGAAAUGAGCGGAGAGUGGUUGAGGUUUCAGCGCACCCUUGGGUGCGUGUAUUGCCGACGCCGAGUCAUUGACAGCGAGACGGGGGCUACAAACAGGUUGCUCUUGAGCUUCCCACCUAUCCCCCCCACUGCCGCCAACGACAUAAUCCGCCCAUUUCACCCGUCUUGAAACACGGACCAAGGAGUCUAAUGGAUAUGUGAGUGUUAGGGUGCCAAACCCCAGCGCGCAAUGAAAGUGAAUGAUUCGUUCAGAAUCGACCGAACUUGAUUUUUAUGACAGUUUUGAGUAAACACAUCCAUUGGGACCCGAAAGAUGGUGAACUAUGCCUGAAUAGGGUGAAGUCAGAGGAAACUCUGAUGGAGGCUCGUAGCGGUUCUGACGUGCAAAUCGAUCGUAGAAUUUGGGUAUAGGGGCGAAAGACUAAUCGAACCAUCUAGUAGCUGGUUCCUGCCGAAG
rnacentral:rRNA from 1 species